rnacentral:rRNA from 1 species
GAUGAACGCUGGCGGCGUGCCUAAUACAUGCAAGUCGAGCGAACAGACGCGGCUCUUGCUCCUCUGACGUUAGCGGCGGACGGGUGAGUAACACGUGGAUCACCUCCCUAUAUGUCUGGUAUAAUUUCGGAAAACGGGAGCUAAUAGCGGAUAAUAUAUUGCACCGCAUGGUUGAUUAGUGAAAGACGGUGUUGGUGUCACUUAUAGAUGGAUCCGCGCCGCUUGAGCUAGUUGGUAAGGUAACGGCUUACCAAGGCAACGAUGCGUAGCCGACCGGACGGGGUGAUCGGCCACACGGGAGCGGAAACAGGGACCAUACUCCUACGGGAGGCAGCAGUAGGGAAUCUUCCGCAAUGGGCGAAAGCCUGACGGAGCAACGCCGCGUGAGUUAUGAAGGUCUUCGGAUCGUAAAACUCUGUUAUUAGGGAAGAACAAAUGUGUAAGUAACUAUGCACGUCUUGACGGUACCUAAUCAGAAAGCCACGGCUAACUACGUG